rnacentral:rRNA from 1 species
GCGCACCAGGCGCGAAACUUCACAAUGUGCGAAAGCACGAUGAGGGAAUCCCAAGUGCUUGCACGUAAGUGUAAGCUGUUUCUCUGUCUAAAACGCAGAGAGAGUAAGGGCUGGGUAAGACGGGUGCCAGCCGCCGCGGUAAUACCUGCAGCUCGAGUGGUGACCGUUAUUAUUGGGCCUAAAACGUCCGUAGCCGGUUUAAUAAAUGCCUGGGUAAAUCGGACCGCUUAACGGUUCGAAUUCCGGGUAGACUGUUAAACUUGAGACCGGGAGAAGUUAGAGGUACUCCUGGGGUAGAGGUGAAAUUCUGUAAUCCUAGGGGGACCACCAGUGGCGAAGGCGUCUAACUAGAACGGGUCUGACGGUGAGGGACGAAGCCCUGGGGCGCAAACGGGAUUAGAUACCCCCGUAGU